UCCGGUUUGACACCGGCAGUCUCACUAGAGUCCUGCCGCCUUGCGGCGACUUAGCAACUAGCGAUAGGGGUUGCGCUCGUUAAGGGACUUAACCCGACACUUCACAGCACGAGCUGACGACAGCCAUGCAGCACCUGUGCACGUUCCACUACAAGAGUGUCAUCCGCCUUUCAGCGGACUAAUCCGUGCAUGUCAAGCCCAGGAUAAGGUUCUUCGCGUUGCUUCGAAUUAAGCCACAUGCUCCACCGCUUGUGUGAGCCCCCGUCAAUUCCUUUGAGUUUUAGCCUUGCGACCGUACUCCCCAGGCGGUGCACUCAACGUUUUUACUUCGACCGAGAACGGCAUCAGAACCUCCUCGAUCUAGUGCACAUCGUUUACGGCGUGGACUAC
rnacentral:misc_RNA from 1 species